rnacentral:rRNA from 1 species
AGGAUGAACGCUGGCGGUCUGCUUAACACAUGCAAGUCGAACGGGCGUAGCAAUACGUUAGUGGCGGACGGGUGAGUAACGCGUGAGAAUCUACCUUCAGGACGGAGACAACAGUUGGAAACGACUGCUAACCCCCGAUGUACUGAAAAGGCAAAUAUUUAUAGCCUGAAGAAGAGCUCGCGUCCGAUUAGCUAGUUGGAGAGGUAAAAGCUCACCAAGGCGACGAUCGGUAGCUGGUCUGAGAGGACGAUCAGCCACACUGGGACUGAGACACGGCCCAGACUCCUACGGGAGGCAGCAGUGGGGAAUUUUCCGCAAUGGGCGAAAGCCUGACGGAGCAAGACCGCGUGGGGGAAGAAGGCUCUUGGGUUGUAAACCCCUUUUCUCUGGAAGAAGUUGUGAAGCAGCCUGACGGUACCAGAGGAAUCAGCAUCGGCUAACUCCGUGCCAGCAGCCGC